GACGAACGCUGGCGGCGUGCUUAACACAUGCAAGUGGAGCGACGAACCAGGCUUCGGCCUGGGGCAGAGCCGCGAACGGGUGAGUAACACGUGGGUAACCUGCCCUGAUGAUCGGGACAACCCGGGGAAACCCGGGCUAAUACCGAAUGUGCCCGCGAGCCGCAAGGCUUGCGAGGAAAGGAAGCUUCGGCCUCCGCAUCGGGAUGGGCCCGCGGCCCAUUAGCUUGUUGGUGGGGUAACGGCCUACCAAGGCAGCAAUGGGUAGCUGGUCUGAGAGGACGAUCAGCCACACUGGGACUGAGACACGGCCCAGACUCCUACGGGAGGCAGCAGUGGGGAAUCUUGCGCAAUGCGCGAAAGCGUGACGCAGCAACGCCGCGUGGGGAAGAC
rnacentral:rRNA from 1 species